UUAACAGUUUGGCAGCACUUUUCAGAGCGCGUUCGAACUCAGCGAGUGAUAACUGUAAUUACAACAACUGUUAUAUGAUGAAUGAAAUUAACUCCUGCACAGAUGACUCAGCAUCGUGUUUGGCAUUGGACUUGACAAGGCAUUGGAGCACAGUUUGAAAGGCUUUUUAUGCACGCAUACAUACGCACACGCACAGGCACACGCAUGCAUAUGCACAUGCACAGGCACACGCACACAUACAGCUGUAGGUUAACAUUGGCGCACUAAUCUUUGGAGUGAAUGUGAAUAACAACAACAAGAGGAACAGCAACAGCAACAACAACAACAACAGAGAGAACAACAGAUAAUUGCGGAGUGAGGUAAAGUGAUUGGAAUUGCGAUAAGCUGCCGCCACUUUGUAGGUGACCCUUUUGGCUGAAGAAUACAAUUUGAAGGGCGUUCUCUCUCUCUCUCCCUCAUAUACACUAUGUGUCCCACCUGUUGCGUUUACCACCUUUCACAGAAACCCCCUGCCCCAAGCCAUUGCUACACACACACACGCACGCUAUUGCAUUCAUUGAGGAUUGCAUAUCAUAAACGUAUAUCGUAUUUGACUA
rnacentral:sRNA from 1 species